rnacentral:rRNA from 1 species
GACGAACGCUGGUGGCGUGCUUAACACAUGCAAGUCGAGCGAGAACGGGCUAUAGCUUGCUAUAGUUGUCAGCUAAGUGGCGCACGGGUGAGUAAUGUAUAGGUAAUAUGCCUCUUACUAAGGGAUAACAAAUGGAAACGUUUGCUAAUACCUUAUACUCCUUAUUAACAGAAGUUAAUAAGGGAAAGAUUUAUUGGUAAGAGAUUAGCCUGUAUUGUAUCAGUUAGUUGGUGGGGUAAUGGCUUACCAAGACUAUGACACAUAACUGGUUUGAGAGGAUGAUCAGUCACACUGGAACUGAGACACGGUCCAGACUCCUACGGGAGGCAGCAGUGGGGAAUAUUGCACAAUGGACGAAAGUCUGAUGCAGCAACGCCGCGUGGAGGAUGACACAUUUCGGUGCGUAAACUCCUUUUAUAUGAGAAGAUAAUGACGGUAUUAUAUGAAUAAGCACCGGCUAACUCCGUGCCAGCCGCCGCCGUAA